rnacentral:misc_RNA from 1 species
AAAGUCGUAACAAGGUCUCCGUAGGUGAACCUGCGGAGGGAUCAUUACUGAGUUUUUAACUCUCCAAACCAUGUGAACUUACCACUGUUGCCUCGGUGGAUGGUGCUGUCUCUCGGGACGGCGCCACCGCCGGUGGACUACCUAAACUCUGUUAAUUUUUGUCAAUCUGAAUCAAACUAAGAAAUAAGUUAAAACUUUCAACAACGGAUCUCUUGGUUCUG